CCUACGGGAGGCAGCAGUGGGGAAUAUUGCGCAAUGGGGGAAACCCUGACGCAGCAACGCCGCGUGAGUGAUGAAGGCCUUCCGGUCGUAAAGCUCUGCCUUCGCUGACGAUAAUGACGGUAAGCGAGGAGGAAGCCACGGCUAACUACGUGCCAGCAGCCGCGGUAAU
rnacentral:rRNA from 1 species